GGGAACUCCCUCUGUGCGAGGGAGAGGAGAGGAAGGAGGACACCACACUCAGACAUCCAGUGGGUCCCACACGCUGGUCAGAGCACGCCGUGACAUCAGAGUGACAUCAUGAGCUCCCCCACUGAGCAUACAGACGGGCAGGGUGAGGACAGCUGUUCCUCACCAGGAGUGACUCCAAGGAAGCUUUACAGACUCCUUCAUCUCUCCUCUUUGUUUUUGUGGAGGCUCAUCAGAGUUCUGAUAUUUUUGCGAGCUGACC
ensembl:lncRNA